rnacentral:rRNA from 1 species
AGAGUUUGAUCCUGGCUCAGGAUGAACGCUGGCGGCGUGCUUAACACAUGCAAGUCGAACGAAGCGGUUUAGCGGAAGUUUUCGGAUGGAAGUUAAACUGACUGAGUGGCGGACGGGUGAGUAACGCGAUGGGUAACCAUACCUCACACAGGGGGACAACAGCUAGAAAUGGCUGCUAAUACCGCAUAAGCGCACAGUUUCGCAUGAAGCAGUGUGAAAAACUCCGGUGGUGUGAGAUGGACCCGCGUCUGAUUAGCUGGUUGGUGAGGUAACGGCUCACCAAGGCGACGAUCAGUAGCCGACCUGAGAGGGUGACCGGCCACAUUGGGACUGAGACACGGCCCAAACUCCUACGGGAGGCAGCAGUGGGGAAUAUUGCACAAUGGGGGAAACCCUGAUGCAGCGACGCCGCGUGAGUGAAGAAGUAUUUCGGUAUGUAAAGCUCUAUCAGCAGGGAAGAGAAUGACGGUACCUGACUAAGAAGCCCCGGCUAACUACGUGCCAGCAGCCGCGGUAAUACGUAGGGGGCAAGCGUUAUCCGGAUUUACUGGGUGUAAAGGGAGCGUAGACGGCUUGGCAAGUCUGAAGUGAAAGCCCGGGGCUCAACCCCGGGACUGCUUUGGAAACUGUUAAGCUGGAGUGCUGGAGAGGUAAGCGGAAUUCCUAGUGUAGCGGUGAAAUGCGUAGAUAUUAGGAGGAACACCAGUGGCGAAGGCGGCUUACUGGACAGUAACUGACGUUGAGGCUCGAAAGCGUGGGGAGCAAACAGGAUUAGAUACCCUGGUAGUCCACCCCGUAAACGAU